UAGGGAAUAUUAGAAAUGGACGAAAGUCUGAUCUAGCAACACCGCGUGUGCGAAGAAGGCCUUCGGGUUGUAAAACACUUUUUGGAAGGAUUAGGAAGGAAUGUACUUCCAGAAUAAGUCUCGGCUAACUACGUGCCAGCAGCCGCGGUAACACGUAGGAGGCAAACGUUAUCCGGAUUUACUGGGCGUAAAGCGCGUGUAGGUGGUUCUGUAAGUAGGGCGUGAAAGCUCCUGGCUCAACUGGGAGAGGCCGUUCUAAACUGCAGAACUAGAGGAUGGUAGAGGGAGGUGGAAUUUCAGGUGUAGCGGUGGAAUGCGCAGAUAUCUGAAGGAACACCAGUGGCGAAAGCGGCCUCCUGGACCAUUCCUGACACUCAGACGCGAAAGCUAGGGUAGCAAACG
rnacentral:rRNA from 1 species